GCGGAUGUGGCGGAACUGGCAGACGCGCAGGCUUCAGGUGCCUGUGGGCUUACGCCCGUGUAGGUUCGAUUCCUAUCAUCCGCA
rfam:Planctomycetes bacterium RBG_13_60_9 RBG_13_scaffold_15951, whole genome shotgun sequence.